CCUACGGGAGGCUGCAGUGGGGAAUUUUGCGCAAUGGGCGAAAGCCUGACGCAGCAACGCCGCGUGGGUGAUGAAGGUCUUCGGAUCGUAAAACCCUGUCGUCGAGGACGAAGGUCGUUUGGUUAAUAGCCUUAUGGCUUGACGGUACUCGGAGAGGAAGCCCCGGCUAACUCUGUGCCAGCAGCCGCGGUAAUACAGAGGGGGCAAGCGUUAUUCGGAAUUAUUGGGCGUAAAUGGCGCGUAGGCGGGUGUAAUCCCCGAGCUCAACUUGGGAACUGCAUCUGAGACUGGCAGGCUAGAGUACUGGAGAGGGUGGUAGAAUUCCACGUGUAGCGGUGAAAUGCGUAGAGAUGUGGAGGAAUACCAGUGGCGAAGGCGGCCACCUGGACAGUAACUGACGCUGAGGCGCGAAAGUGUGGGUAGCAAACAGGAUUAGAUACCCUGGUAGUC
rnacentral:rRNA from 1 species